UCUAGUGGGCGGGGCAGGUGGGAGCUUCGCUUUCCGGCUGGGCUGCACUGUACUUGGAGGGGUGGUGGGUUCUGGUCCAGGUGAAAAGCGCGCAUAUUCCCUGAAGCCCUUCUCUUGCCCCUAAGAAAGCGUGUCUAAAGGCCUGUGUGUGGGGCUCGCCUGGGUCUCUUCCGGACCGUCGAGCCCAGCUCACUGGCUUCGGCUCCUGUCUCAUCCUGUUCCCAGUUCACAGCUCACCGAUUUUGAGAAGCUGAUGUCUCUUCCAGCUGGAACCUUGGACCCCUACAUUUACCCCAGAGGAGACAGACAUUGAUGGCUGCUGAGAGCGGAGCCUUUAAUGAAAGAUUAGUUGCAGGCCUGGACUGCUACUCUUGCGCCCUUGGUGUGUAUUGAGGGAGGUGGGCAAUGGUGAGAAUGUGGACAGGGAUAAGUGGGGUGAGGUGAAAGCAGGUGAAGGGGCGGGCCCGGCAGGGGGAGGGGAAGGGCGCUGCCCACUGGGCUGUCUGCUCAACUGUUCUCCCAGAAGAAGUUGUUACAGGCCACUGUGAGAGCAGCCACCAGCACCACAUACUCCUGGAAGUCCACCUCCCCGUCUCCAUUCUCAUCGAGCUCCUUCAUCACCUUGUCCACAGCAUCUGCAUCCUUCUGGGCCUGUGGAGGAAGAAGAGGGAGAGGAGGUGUGCAUCACUGAGUCGGGGCAGGAGGUGGUCGAGGAGAGCAAGGCAGACGUGAGCAAGAGGUCAGACAGCCUCUAAUCAUGGGACCUUCUGCUUUCCACCCAAGAAGGCUCAUGGGCUCCUGUUGCCUUCAGAAGAAACGCCUUAACUGGAAGAGUUAAUGAUAACGUCAAUCACCAUAAGCUAAUUGUCUACAGUGUGACAAGCACUACACUAGGAGCCUUCCAGGCACUGUCUAGUUUAAUUCUAAUAUAAGCAGUAUGGGGUUCUUUUUAUUAAUUCCAUUCUGAAGAAGAAACAUGGAUGAUUUUUGUUAAAUAAAUGUGCCCAAAGUCACACAAAAAGCGGCAGGGCUGACAUUAGGUGUGGUGAUGCACACCUGUCAUCCCAGCAGCUCAGGAGACUGAGGAUCCCAAGUUUGAGGCCAGCCUCAGCAAUUUAACAAGGCCCCUAUACAACUUAGUGAGACCCUGUCUCAAAAAGUAAAAAGGGGGGCUGGGGAUGUGGCUCAAGCGGUAGCGUGCUCGCCUGGCAUGCGUGCGGCCCGGGUUCGAUCCUCAGCACCACAUACAAACAAAGAUGUUGUGUCCGCCGAUAACUGAAAAAUAAAUAUUAAAAUUCUC